rnacentral:rRNA from 1 species
GAUGAACGCUGGCGGCGUGCCUAAUACAUGCAAGUCGAGCGAACGGACGAGAAGCUUUCUUCUCUGAUGUUAGCGGCGGACGGGUGAGUAACACGUGGAUAACCUACCUAUAAGACUGGGAUAACUUCGGGAAACCGGUGCUAAUACCGGCUGAUCUUUUGAACCGCAUGGUUCAAAAGUGACAGACGGUCUUGCUGUCACUUAUAGAUGGAUCCGCGCUGCAUUAGCUAGUUGGUGAGGUAACGGCUUACCAAGGCAACGAUGCAUAGCCGACCUGAGAGGGUGAUCGGCCACACUGGAACUGAGACACGGUCCAGACUCCUACGGGAGGCAGCAGUAGGGAAUCUUCCGCAAUGGGCGAAAGCCUGACGGAGCAACGCCGCGUGAGUGAUGAAGGUCUUCGGAUCGUAAAACUCUGUUAGUAGGGAAGAACAUAUGAGUAAGAAACUGUGCACAUCUUGACGGUACCUAAUCAGAAAGCCACGGCUAACUACGUG